rnacentral:rRNA from 1 species
UACGUAGGGGGCAAGCGUUGUCCGGAAUUAUUGGGCGUAAAGAGCGCGUAGGCGGUCCGAUAAGUCGGCUGUGAAAGUCAGGGGCUCAACCCUUGAAAGCCGGCCGAUACUGUCGGACUAGAGUCCGGAAGAGGCAAGUGGAAUUCCCGGUGUAGCGGUGAAAUGCGCAGAUAUCGGGAGGAACACCAGUGGCGAAGGCGACUACCUGGCCUGUUCUUGACGCUGAGGCGCGAAAGCUAGGGGAGCAAACGGG